rnacentral:lncRNA from 1 species
GCGGGGUCACACACAUUAGAGGUUCCUAUCUGAUCUGAUGGCUGAUGAAGAGUCUUAAUGCUCGUAGACUAUGAGUCUUACAUAUCUGGGACUCUGUGAUCAAGAAUCAAGAUUCUCUGAUCAUGAGUUUCACACAAUUUGGGUAUCGGGGUCAAGAGUCCCACUGGUUUGGGACUCUUCGAUCAAGAUUUCAUAUCGGUGGACUUUGAUACCCGAUUGCCCAUCGGAUAUGGACUC